GAUGAACGCUGGCGGCGUGCUUAACACAUGCAAGUCGAACGGAAAGGCCCAAGCUUUCUUGGGUACUCGAUUGGCGAACGGGUGAGUAACACGUGUGUUAUCUGCCCUUCACUUCGGGAUAAGCCUGGGAAACUGGGUCUAAUACCGUAUAGGACGAUGUUUUGUAUGCCAUUGUGGAAAGUUUUUUCGGUGUGGGAUUAGCUCGCGGCCUAUCUGCUUGUUGGUGGGGUAAUGGCCUACAAAGCCGUAGACGGGUAGCCGGCCUGAGAGGGGGUACGGCGACAUUGGGAAUGAGAGACGGGCCAGAGUAGGAAGGGAGGCAGAAGUGGGGAAUAUAGGACAAUGGGAGAAAGACUGAGGGAGAGAGGACGAGUGGGGGAUGAGGGCGUUAGGGUUGUAAAAAACUAUGGAUAGGGAAGAAGAGUUUUUGUGACGGUAACUGGAGAAGAAGCACCGGCUAACUACGUG
rnacentral:rRNA from 1 species